UUUAAAUUUCCAGUUUUGCCCUUCCUCAAGAAUAUAUGGUUUUACAGCUGUGGAUCUCAAGCCAAGUGGUGAAGAUGAGAUGAUAACAAUGGAUAAUGCAGAAGAAUAUGUGGAUUUGAUGUUUGACUUUUGCAUGCAUACGGGUAUUCAGAAACAGAUGGAAGCCUUCAGAGGUAAUUUUAAGGCUCUUUAGCUUAAUCCCUCUCCUUUUACUUUGAGACACCGAAAUUAAGAUACUGCUAUGCUCAAAAUUAGACUAUGCUAGUAAUCUCUAGAUUUGUCAUCUAGUUUUUUUGUCUUCCCAACAGUUAGGUCAGGUCCUACAGGGUACCCUGAACAGAUUGAACCAUUUUCAAGCUGUAGCAUACCCUAAGCUGCUCUUCCUCAGUAAUGAGGGACCUACUUUGGCUUUUGUUUUUUCAUUUGUAAGUGGAUAUAAGGUUGCAUACAGGAUCAGGAUGAAUUAAACCAUAUUAGAACCUAAGUCUUAAGGUAAAGAGUGAAGCAAAAUAUAUUGAACUGUUUAUCACUUACUAGUUUUUUAAAAUGAGAACUUGCUUUGGCUGGCUUGUAUGACAUAAAGAACUGGUUGGGAAAUUAUUGGAAUUUGGCUACAGACCAUAGUGUCUGAAUAUUCUCUCUACAUAUACAUCUGUGAUACUAAGCAAAGAUUUCUGUAUUUAAAACCCUAGCAAGUUUUUAUUUCAAGCUACUUUAAUUUUAUUGGCUUUUUCAAAUAUUUAUAUUUGUCUUCUGUCCAUUUAGUUGAGUAUUUUGAUUUGAAAUUUGUGGUUUGAAAUUGUAACUUGGAAACACAAACUCAGUUGUGUUUUGUUUUUGUUUUUUUUGCUGUGUGUAAAAUGUAGAUGGGUUAAUAAAGUUUUUCCAAUGGAGAAAUUAAGUUCCUUCAGCCAUGAAGAGGUCCAAAUGAUUCUUUGUGGAAAUCAGUCACCAUCCUGGGCAGCAGAGGAUAUAUUAAUUAUACUGAACCUAAGUUGGGUUAUACACGUGACAGUCCUGGCUUCCUUAGGUUCGUGCGGGUUUUAUGUGGUAUGUCUUCAGACGAGAGGAAAGCAUUUCUGCAGUUUACCACUGGUUGUUCAACUCUGCCUCCAGGGGGACUGGCUAACUUGCAUCCAGGCUCACAGUUGUACGCAAGGUACAAACUCUAGCUAUUGGGCAAUGUAAACCAAAUUUAGUUACCUAAGGGUUGAAAGAAAUGCAUAUUUAAAGUCAUGGUCUUCUAUUGUUUUCAAUUCUGUUUCUGUGCAGGUUGAUGCUACUGAUGCAAGCUACCCAUCAGUGAACACAUGUGUGCAUUAUCUCAAGUUGCCAGAAUACUCUUCGGAGGAGAUCAUGAGAGAGAGCGUCUGCUAGCUGCUACAAUGGAGAAAGGCUUCAUCUCAAUUGAGCUUUGAAGUGCAAUGGGAGACAUCAGAGACUUAAAAUUCUAGUGAAGCCUCUUGUGUUUGUUUGCAGAGAAGUAUAAUGAUCCUCCAUGCUAAUGACACUUGCCUUUUUUUCCACCAUUAAGGCUUUAAGAACACGUGGAGUAAGUUUGUUAGCUGCUAAUGACAAACAAAUCCUUUAAACUAUCCAGCCAGCAAGUACAUAGCACAGAACACUGUGUGCUACAAGGGCUCAUGUGACUGGAAUGAGGUGGUUCUACUUGACUGUUCCAAAGAGCAGCUUCUCAGAUCUUCAGUGUUCACUGGUAAAUUUCUAACAGUGUAUUUGUGUAAAGUUUGUCAUUUCAUACUUCAUACACUACAGUUGCCAUCACUGAUCCCUGUUUUGCUGGCUUUAAGCUACUUGUCAGAAAUCCUGCUUCCUUAAAACAUAGAGAGUUAAUGAGCAUCUCAAGCUUUUUCUUUCCUCUUUAAUGAUGCCUGCACUAUCAGAGUGUAUCUAGUGUUCUCUCUUUUGUUUGGCAUAUAAUCAUGCACAACCUUUUUAUUUCUUUGAGGUGGGAGUAUAUUUUUAUUUCCUAAAUGCCAUACUAUAAAGAUCAAAUUCUUAAGUGUGUUGUGCAGUUCAAAAAUAAAAGAUAUAUUAAGGGGGGGAGGAAAAAACA
ensembl:lncRNA